AUUGAACGCUGGCGGCAGGCCUAACACAUGCAAGUCGGACGAGUGGCGGACGUGUGAGUAAUGUAUGGGAAACUGCCUGAUGGAGGGGGAUAACUACUGGAAACGGUAGCUAAUACCGCAUACCAUCAGAUGAACCCAGAUGGGAUUAGCGAGUAGGUAAGGUAACGGCUUACCUAGGCGACGAUCCCUAGCUGGUCUGAGAGGAUGAUCAGCCACACUGGGACUGAGACACGGCCCAGACUCCUACGGGAGGCAGCAGUGGGGAAUAUUGCACAAUGGGCGCAAGCCUGAUGCAGCCAUGCCGCGUGUAUGAAGAAGGCCUUCGGGUUGUAAAGUACUUUCAGUCGGGAGGCGUUACCGACAGAAGAAGCACCGGCUAACUCCGUGCCAGCAGCCGCGGUAAUUC
rnacentral:rRNA from 1 species